GUUAGUGCCAGUCAGGGCCUCUCAGUUCUGAAUGCCACUCUCAGGAUGUGUUUAGGUUUGCAGGCUCUGGAGACGUGGGCUACAGUCUAUGGAGUCGCAAAGAAUCGGACACGGCUUAGAAACAAAACAACAGCAAGCAUUGGAGGGCCGGCCUGGAGGUGUCAGGCCUCUUCUUGGCUUCAAGAGGAUUCUCAUUUGCCUUUCUCUUGGGGAAAAUCUUCCCUCUGGGACCCUGGAUGGCCUGACCUCCCAAUUAUAGGAGCCUCAUGCAUCAAGUACCUGUUGGAGGCCAGGCACUUGACAUACAGCAUCAUGUUCAAUUCUCACAGUGUGUUUUCAACUGACAGUGCCCUUUCCUGGUCACGUGGGAGCCUUGUGACUCCUGACAGGGGCGUGGAAUGAGGUGACCCCAUCUUUUUACAGGUAGCUCUUAGCUGGACCCCUUCCUUCUCCCUUUCUCACCACCUCGCCCUCCUCCCACCCAUCAUCCUCUCUGAGGACUGAGAGAUGCUGCCCUGAGCAAGGAACUGAGCCCCUGACCUGCCAUGGAUACAGGCCACCAUGUGCCCUACCCAUCUUUGCUAUGGCUGCUAGGCGCCUGGUGGGCAGAAGCUUGUGGGAUUUUAGUUCUUCAACCAGGGAUGGAACCCCGGAUCCUCAGCAGUGAGAGCGUGGAGUCCUAACCACUGGACUGCCCAGGAAUUCCCAAGAGCAUGCUUUUUAUAUGAAAGCAAACUUGGACAUAAUAUAGAGUAAAACGUGCAUGUACAUAUGUACCGAUCUAUUACAAGUAAACCAGAGGCCAGAAAUCAAAGUGUUUAUGAGUGAGUUGUUCUGAAUGGCCUUCCCACUGGCCGGUGGACCCUGCUCUUACAGAUCCCCCACAGGGAACUUUGAGAAAUACUGUUUGCCCAUAACCACCAUAUUUCCUCUCUGUCAUUUGUGAUAGGGCCCACUUCAGAAUGGGGGCAAGUCAGUUACAGUGAGGAAGGACUGUCUAGAGAGGACCAGAGCCCAGGCAAAGGGCAUAGGUCCCACCUGAGGUGACAAGCUGGCAGAACCAUCCCAGGACAGGAUCUGAAAGGCGGGAGUGUUGGUUUCUAGGCAAAGGUGUUUGGAGCUCACUUCCUGGGGGCGGCAGAAGAGGAUGAGUGUGUGUCCACAGGGGCUGGGAGGUGGCAGGUUUCAGCAAGAGGAGGCCUGAGCCACCGGCCCAGGCUGGU